AGUGAACGCUGGCGGUAGGCCUAACACAUGCAAGUCGAACGGCAGCACAGUAAGAGCUUGCUCUUACGGGUGGCGAGUGGCGGACGGGUGAGGAAUACAUCGGAAUCUACUUUUUCGUGGGGGAUCACGUAGGGAAACUUACGCUAAUACCGCAUACGACCUACGGGUGAAAGCAGGGGCUCUUCGGACCUUGCGCGAUUGAAUGAGCCGAUGUCGGAUUAGCUAGUUGGCGGGGUAAAGGCCCACCAAGGCGACGAUCCGUAGCUGGUCUGAGAGGAUGGUCAGCCACACUGGAACUGAGACACGGUCCAGACUCCUACGGUAGGCAGCAGUGGGGAAUAUUGGACAAUGGGCGCAAGCCUGAUCCAGCCAUACCGCGUGGGUGAAGAAGGCCUUCGGGUUGUAAAGCCCUUUUGUGGGGAAAGAAAAGCAGCAGGUUAAUACCCCGCUGUUCUGACGGUACCCAAAGAAUAAGCACCGGCUAACUUCGUG
rnacentral:rRNA from 1 species